UGCCAGCCAAUCUUUAAUAGGGCUUAAAACCCUCUCCAAAAGUCCUAACUACUUCACGGACUGUUGGAUCACAUCCGCUCGUUUUCUGGGCCGCUAAAUCAAGUACUAGUCCACCAAAACCUGCAUAGACUGCGAGAAAUGCCCGAGAUACACCUGUCAGUCCAUGGUGGAUCGUGAGAACCACCUGGAAAUCAUUCUCAUGGCCCACAAGCUCCUUCCAUGGACUGCGGUACACCGUCCCAAGCCUCUGGCACGCGCGACAGCUAGGCUGACCUCCGUGCGCCCGCCUAGGUCGUUCACCCAC
rnacentral:lncRNA from 1 species